rnacentral:snRNA from 1 species
GUGCUUGCCUUGGCAGCACGUGUGCUAAAAUGAGAGCAAUACAGAGAAAAUUAGAUGGCCCCUGUGCAAGGAUGACAUGCAAAUUCAUGAAGCAUUCCGUAUUUUU